rnacentral:rRNA from 1 species
AUUGAACGCUGGCGGCAGGCCUAACACAUGCAAGUCGAACGAGUGGCGGACGGGUGAGUAAUGUCUGGGAAACUGCCUGAUGGAGGGGGAUAACUACUGGAAACGGUAGCUAAUACCGCAUACCAUCGGAUGUGCCCAGAUGGGCUGAGCUAGGAGGUGGGGUAACGGCUCACCUAGGCGACGGUCCCUAGCUGGUCUGAGAGGAUGACCAGCCACAAUGGAACGUGUACACGGUCCAGAUUCCUACGGGAGGCAGCAGUGGGGAAUAUUGCACAAUGGGCGCAAGCCUGAUGCAGCCAUGCCGCGUGUAUGAAGAAGGCCUUCGGGUUGUAAAGUACUUUCAGCUGGGAGGCGUUACCCGCAGAAGAAGCACCGGCUAACUCCGUGCCAGCAGCCGCGGUAAUUC